rnacentral:tRNA from 1 species
GCGCCGGUGGUGUAAGGCGACAUCGCUGCCCGGAAAGCAGAAGAUGCGGGUUCGAGUCCCGCCUGGCGCA